CUGUUUUUUAUUCCAAAAGAAUACAUUUGUUUAUUGUAUUUUUAACAGAAAAAUCAAGGUGUUCAAAUGAAAAUAUCUAUAUAUCUCUAUAUACGUAAAUGGGAGAAAUUGAAGCUUUGAAGAGCACAAUUUUUUUCAUGUUAUCUUUUUUUUUCCUCCUCCAAACUGGCAAGCUUUGCUGUAGUUGGAUAUCAAAAAUUGACACUGCUCCAAGCUUAACCCAUAAAGCAAUUCUCAAGUGCUUUGUACUGGUCAUUUUUAUCUACAGAAACAAGGGAAACUUCUUUCCCUUAAGGCAUCUUAAGGGAAACUCAAUCUAUAGUCAAAUACAUCUCGCUGUCAAAUUAUUAGAGCUUGUAUUUAUCGUUCCCGAAACUCUGGUACAAGUUAUCAAGCUUUUCUUCAGAUUGGUGAGAUAAGAGAGCAGGAGGGAAGAAGUGAGUCAUCACAUGCGUCCUCAUGUUCUGUACUGGUGAAUCACUGCAUGCUCAUUGCAUCACAGAUGUCCCGUGCAGCCACCAGGGUAGCUCUACUGUAGUCAAAUAUGCAUAAGCUUGUAAACGCUUGUACAUAAACAAACAAGAGUGACAUUUCCUUUUAUUUUACAUAGCUGCAUAGACAUAUGCCCCCAGUUUGGGUCUGGUACAGCUAACAUGCACAAGAUUGGCUUUCUGAAAACUUCAGCAGCUUCAAUACUGAUGAAACAAACAGUUUAAGACAGAGGGUCCCUGUGGUAGAAGCGAACAUGCCACGAAAGUUUCCCUUCCUGACCCACAGACCUCAGCUUUUUGGUUAUUUGACUUCAGCACAUCUCCAUCAGUACGUGCUCUAAUCAUGUCUUGCCGUUCUGUUCAGAGUCACAACAAAACACCAUGCACAAACAGACAGGAAAUAAAGAAAAUCACCCAGCAGACCCUUCUUUAAUGAAUCAUUUUUUAAAAAUUAGUCAUCCUUCUAUCACAAAGAGCAAUCAGUAUGGAAACCCGACAGCCCUUCCAGGAAAAUGGUGUACUUUUCUAACUCUCAGUCAUCGCUUCUCUCCCUGUUCCCAUAUGUAGAAUACAGCAUAUAUCACAUGAAUGCCUUAAGUAAGUAAAUAAAUAAUACACAAUUUAGGGAAGCAGCUUUAAAAGCAAAGCUGGACGUUACCACGUGACUCUGAAAUCACAGAGAACACGAAAGAACAAAGAAUGGAACCAGAGAAGCUCAAAAGAGGUGAAAAAGCCUUCGAUUAGAGAACCAAAAAUAGUCAUUGAACUUAGGUUUUGGUCAAGAACAGGUUUUCUAGCUGAAAAAGCAGCUACAAAGCAAGGAGAAGGUGCACUGUUGCCUGUGCCUUCUUCCUUCUGGCCAUGCCUGUGCCUGCUGCCCCUGCACUGAGCUCCUCCCUGGCCCAUGCUAGGACGGACCACGGGUUUGCAAGACAUCGAAGCAGGGACGCUGAUAAAACAGCGUCAGGGAAAUCCAAACUGUAGCAGAGAGACUGGCAAAACACUCAGCAUUAUUGGCUGGUAUUUCAUGUGCCUGCAGCCACAGCUCCAAGUCAAAUAUGCGCAGUCGUCCAUCACAGAAUCAGAGAAUAGUUUGGGUUGGAAGGAACCUUAAAGAUUACAGUUCCAACCCCUGCCGUGGGCAGGGCUGUCCCCCACCAGCUCAGGCUGUCCAGGGCCCCAUCCAACCUGGCCUUGAGUGCCUCCAGGAAUGGGGCACCACAGCUUCUCUGGGCAGCUGUGCCAGAGCCUCACCGCCCUCCAGGUAAAGGAUUUCUGUGUAACAUCUCAGGUAAAUUUCCCCUCUUUUAGUUUAAAACCAUUCUCCCUUGUCCUAUCCCUAUCUCCCUUUGUAAGAAGUCAGUUUCCCUCCUGUUUAUACGCUCCCUUCAAGUGCAGGAAGGCCACUAUGGGGUCUCCCCAGAGCCUUUUCUUCUCCAGGCUGAACCAGCUCAUUUCCCUCAGCCUUUCUUCACAGGGGAGGUGUUCCGGACCUCUGCUCAUCUUCAUGACUCUUCUCUGGACCCAUUCCAACAGUUCCACAUCUUUCCUGUACUGGGGGCCCUAGGCCUGGGCACACUACACCUCACAAGGGCAGGGUAGAAGGGGCAGUCCCCUCCCUUUCCCUGCUGCCACCCCUCUUCUGAUGGAACCCAGGACACCUUUGGCCUUCAGGGCUGCAAGUGCACACUUCUGCACUUGCUCACGUCCACCAUCAGGUUGAGCGGCCCCUCAGCAUCAGCUGGCUGGGUUGGCAAAGGCUUCAGUUUGCCUAUGAGAAUUCAGCUUUCCAAAAUCUGUGCAGCACUGAUGCAGGCCAGUGUAUGACUAACAGCAGCGUGGCUGUGAGCCGUGAUGGAUGCUGUCGCCCUCGCAACACAACAGAAACAAUAAGAUUGCCAAGUAACAUAAGUGAAAGUAAUUUGAUCUCUUUUCACCUGCCAAGCAAUCAAUUACUGGAAAAAUUAACUUGUUUCACAGCAGCUCAUGAGCAGAACUGAGCUAACUCGCAUCACAAGACCUGUCAGUGAACGCAGGCAGUACUUCGGGAUGGGACAGCAAUGUCAUGCUGGGCUGCCCUGUGUGGGUUUCCAUCAGGCAACUUCAGCAGUACACCAGACGGGCACAGUUAAGCCAGAUUCCUUCUGUUCCAGAUGGAGGAAACAAAGGUAGAACCAAAGUUAUCAAAUCCAGCUGUUCCUUCAACAUGCACCUCCUCAGCUGCAGCUGUUGCCUUCAGUGACCACAUUGCAAGAGCCUCCACAGCUUUGUAAUACCAAGUAACGCUCAGUGAUGCUCAAAUAACACUAAGUUAGCAGGUAACACAUGCAGUGCUUUGUACCUCCAUAAGCUACAAUAGAGGCACAAAUGGAUUCAAAGAAAUACCCAGCUUGCCAGACUCCUUCCUUGGUUAAUGACAGUAAUCCAAGGGGUUUCCACGAAUGUCAAGGCUGACUGUCUAUCAUAUGACUGUGCCUAAAGUAAUGUAUGUGACUGUAGGUUUGUUAAUUAUAUUUUAUCAGUGAUUUUAAGACAAAUCCACCACUGAUUAAAUCUCAGGAUUUCAAAAACAUGCAUUUAUGACUCAAUAGCCAAAAAAAAAAAAAAAAAAAAUCACCUAUUUUUGUAGUUUUCCACCAGAAAGCAAAGUGUUUUCUCUCACAGAAACUACAUGGGAACUUGUGAACUGGGCUUUCUCUCUUGGGAAAAAGAAAUAUAUCACUAAUAGUAAAAUUGAAUUUAAACUUUUCAACAUCUCAUUUUUUCUUUUGUAUGGCAGAAAUUAUUUACUAUGUAAGAAAACAUUUCAAUAUAAGGAAAAAAAAAACACAUUUUGAUUGAUCUUAUUUUUUCCCCAAACUUUUGACUUGAACACUGAGAGAGCUUAAUUUUCACUCUAAGAGAAAACUAUUUUUGAGAUCCUGGAAGCUCACAUGUCAUAUGAACUUCACUUUCUGUACAAUAUUUUUGUGAUCUUAACAUACAGAUGUUGCUUUCAUAACAGCAAGAAAGCAAAAUGACUAGAGAAGAAAACAGAAUAAAAUUUCCAUAAAAAUAGCAACAAGAAUAUAACAGGACAAUUAAUAAAUGUGGAAAACCACUAAUCUUAAUCUCUUCUGAAAUUUCUUCUUCAGCAGACUUUUGUUUUUUUGCCUGUUGGAAGUCUCACACACUCCUCUCCUCCACUGGGUGGCAUUACUACCUAGAGCUGCAGCAUUGGACUACAUGAAGUUGUCAAAAUGAAGUAAACAUCUCACAUACCUUCUUGAUCUCAAUCUAUGGAAUUAUCCCAUUUUCCUGAGAAAACCAUCUGAGCUAGUCUGCUGACAUGCAAAAUUGCCACUUUUGAGCCAGAUAAGUACCAUCCAAGUAUGUACACUUGGAUGCCGAGAAACACUUUAGGUCACAGCAACUCACCGCUUCUAGGAAAAGCACAAGAAACAGCAAUAACUGUCAACAAUCUUUUUUCCCCUUUACAAUGUUAAAAAAUAGGGGGUCACAAAUAGAAAAAAAAAAGGAGAUCCGGAGUUAUUAUGCGUGAAUCCAUACAUGCAAAUAUCAUCCAGAAAAGGUUUAGAUAAUAUAUUGAGAAGAUUUCAGAUGUAUUUUAAGUUUCAUUCUAACCUGGUUUGAUCGUAGGGCUUAGACCACAAUCCCUUUCCAUUUGCUUUCUUAACUUGUUCUCCUCAAAGCCACAACUCCUGCUUCUUUCAUCCAGAAACUCUACUGAUAAUUCCUUAAACAGACUGUCUUUAUGUGCACAUGCAAGACCCAACUCACAUUUAUGAACGACACGGAACUAUGCACUUUUGGUACAUCACAUGUACUUUAUUGCAAAGUUCUUUUCUCUUACUAUUGAUUUUUGUUCCAGGUCUUACACUAGCCUUGAAUGUCGUCACGGCUGGGAUUACGUGCACAGAGGAACCUGACCAGAACGAACCUUUUAGGAAAACAAAAACAAAGCCCAAACUUUCCAGUUUCACUGGAAACGACUGUUUACAUGCAUUGAUAGUGAUCGGAUAGUGACAGGACAAGGGGGAAUGGUUUCAAACUGAACCAGGGGAGGUUUAGGUUAGAUAUGAGGAGGAAGUUUUUCCACACAGAGGGUGGUGACGCACUGGAACAGGUUGCCCAAGGAGGUUGUGGAUGCCCCAUCCCUGGAGGCAUUCAAGGCCAGGCUGGAUGUGGCUCUGGGCAGCCUGGUCUGGUGGUUGGUGACCCUGCACAUAGCAGGGGGGCUGAAACUAGAUGAUCAUUGUGGUCCUUUUCAACCCAGGCCAUUCUAUGAUUCUAUGAUUCUAUGACUCACCAGGUCAAUUCACUUCUCUCAAUCAGCUAGUUAUUUUUUUUGCUCCCACAGCCCAAUCUGCAGGGCUCUCACUCACUUCAUCACAUACGCUCUACCAGUCGCUAACUGAUCUAGCUGGUCUUCCUCUGAUCCAUGCUUUGUUACGUAGUUCACAACAACAGAGAAACGCGUGCUUAUCUGUCAUAUUCUCUCUGUCCCUGUCAAAGACAGGUUUGUGAAACAAAAAGUCUUUAUCUGAGCCCUGAGACUGCAAGUGGACAAAAGAAGGAAGAAGUCUACAUUGUGUAUGGUGUACCACAGAUUUUUCAAAUAUGCAAUGUAUUAUUACUCAUUACCCUAUUUGAAGUUUCUUUAUAACUCUCUACACAGGCUGACUGCUAACUGCAUCCCAUUCCCUUCAUGGAUACAGAAGUAAGGCACGUUAUUGCUGAAAACAAAUAAAUAAAUGCAAAGCUUCUAAUUGUGUUUACUUAAGUUAUUUGUUGCCUGGUUCUCUCAGCUGGCUAUGGUUUGGAACCUGCUCUCUGGAGCAGCCCACUUUGCAUGUAGUUUGCAAAUCAGCAGUCCCUCUCUGAAGACAUAAGCCGUACGCCCGUGUGUGCUGCUACAAGUGUUGUCACUAGGCACACGAGCACAUGCUUGAGGAACAGUAGUGAAGCAGUGAGCAACAGGAACACCAUAUUUUGUCAGCAGGAAAAUAGCCACAAGAAAACUCAAGCAUACCGUUCACAUUUAGGAUGGAGUAGAUAGGGUCCAAUUUUGAACCGUGAAAAUGUAAUCUAUGCCAAUCUCUAUUUUCCCCCUCCCUGCCCCUUUCAACUAACAGCCUCUACCCGUCAUCCACAUUAAAUUAACAGCCAGCCAUAGCUGACUUCCAAACAGGAUGUUACAAAAAUCUGGCCUUCCUAUACACAUAUAUACUUACAAAAGAAAUUGUAGUAAUGAGAUUGAGAUCAAAUUAUUGUUCAGCAUCCUUUUAAAAUCAAGAGCAGGGAAAAGAGAAGCGUGGGGGGGGGGGUUCUUUGUGAUUUAAAAAAGAGCAAAUACAAUACGUACGAUUAGCACAACAAUAUUUGAGAAGUUACACCAUUCUUUAGCAUCCAGUUUUCCCAUUUCAUGGGAGUGUUGACUUUUUCCUGAGCUUAAUGUCGCUGUAUGUAAAAACAGCUGCGUCUCUGCUAAAAAGAGAAGAUGGUGAGACCUCCUGGACAACUUGCCCAGAGACUCUAUUGCACCUAAACUCUUAUGGGAAUACAUUUCAGAAAGGUUUAUUCAAUAAAUUAAAAGUAAUACCUCCUACGGGAAGCAAAAGCCAUAACAGAAUGAAAUACAUUUCCUGUAGGAGGAAUAUUUUUAGACUUUUAGAGAGAGGCAAAUGAAAGCAGAACAAAGUGCUGCCAACUGGUUUCUCACCAAAUUACUCUCAGUGGGGUGCAACUCAACUGAAAUUACCCUUUAGAGAAAAAAAAGGAAGACCAUGCUCAAAAAUGAUAUUGCCAUAAUACAGCGGUGGAAGAAAAGCAAAUAAAACUUGAAAACAGCAAGGGGAAGGUUAUUUAUUAGUCUACUUAUAAAGUCAGUUAUAGAUGAUCAGUGGAGGUACAUUCGUAUCGUUGAAAAUCAAAUCGAGGGAGCCAGUCCUUUAGACAAGAACGAUACUGUGCAAAAGUAUUCUUAAUGGCACCAUAAAAAAUGAGUUUGUGUAUUUGCAGCGUGCAUUCCCCAUUUAUUCAAUACAGUCUGAAUCUUUCACUUGUUAGCAAAGGCUGUAGCAUACUCUGCACUUUGCUGAAAACCAUUCUGUCCAUUUAUGAGACAAAUCAUUUGUGAGAACAUAAGGACUCGUUAACAUUUGACUUGGCCAACCCAAAUAAUACCUGGAGCUACACUAAAGCAGGUUUGAAUACAGACUUCGGGUGAUGAAAACACCAAACAGAACACAAAACCAAAAACAAACAAAAAAAACACAUUAUCUUCCCUUUUAUUGAUCGGCAUGAAUGUUAAUCUGAAAAUAUAUGUAACAAGGACAGUGGGAAAUGGAUAAAAGGUACAGCCAAUGUGAACAAGUCAGGGUGCAUGGAACAAGAAAUCAUAAAUGAGCAGGAAGAGAGGAGGCAAGCAAAAGCUAUCCAAGUCCCAUCAGGUGCUCAGUGCUCACAGCACAAUGGGACGUUCUGCACAGGACUGAGCGCCCUUGCACAUCCUUGCUAAGAACAAUGCUCAUAAAUCUCACUUUGACCUUAAACUGUCAAAAAGCCCUCAUGGAGGAAUACCAUAAACCUUUGCUUUGAGAGAAUACAGAGAGAGCAGCAGCAACUGAGGAGAUCCAGAAAAUCUAGUUCUGGUCUCACGCCUUGGAAAGUUCAUGCAAGCCGUUCCCGUUGCCAGGACUGUGAAGAUGAUGACCCAGGAUGACAGCUUUAGAGUGGGAUAACUGGCGUUUCUAUUUAUGGGUCAGUGACACAGCACCUGGCACGCAUAGCUCCAAAAGCAAGAACAGGUAGUACCCAACACCUGAUUCCAGCAUGAUGAUGUGGUGAGCAUCAAGCACUGCAAGUUCAUCAGAUCCUCCAAAACACUCUUAACCCUCCCUGGGAUUUAGUAUCUCCGGGCCGACAGCCAGAGUGGAACAGGUACAGAACCUUCAACAGCCAGUCUGUAAAUACCUUGGAAAAACUGACACUUGGUCAAAAAGUCUGGGUAUACAUCUCCAUAGGUGCAUAUUAUUCCUGAAGGAUAAGAAUAAAUAAAAAAUAAUAGAAAAUAUUUGGAACGGGCACCGCUUAAGAACACACACAGAACAAUAAACAGGAAAUUUUAAAGAGAAAUGACCUAAAUGAAGUUCCUAUGACUGAGCGAUCACUAAGGUCUUUGCUCCCUACCUGAUACUGUUUUAACUAGUAGCAUGCACACAAAGGAAGGCACACUCUUGAGUACUCCGUUGGACUGAAGUGGGAGUAAGAGAGUAAGACUUUGCCAAAUUGGAUGAUGAAUAUCAGGAUCAACUUCUGAUACGGUCUGAAUCUUGCCCUUAUCUCUUCAUUGCUCCCUUUUAAUUUUCCAAAAGUAGAUGGAAUAUUUGGCCCAUUCUUCCACCACCAAUUGCACAGUUCAGUCAAAAAUCUGAGGAAUCCGGGAUGUUCAACAUUCACAGUUUAGAACAGCUUAAUUCCAGUGAUCCUCACGUUCCCAAACACUCUCAUGCUCUCACCACAAAGCCAGCAAAUUAAAUAGGAGCACCUUCAUAUUUAAUAUGGCAGCGUUGUUAUUACAGUUUGACUUUUCACUACUUUUCAUGUUAACACAUCCACUCUGCAGCUCUGAUACUGAUAUUAUCUAGUUUCUGCCACACCAGAAUGAGUAUUCAGCCCUGCUUGCUCAGGGCUGGUUUUCAUCACCAUAUUCACGUCUGGAAGGACAAAACCACGUGCUGAAACCACCACCACCACGCAGAAGAGUGAAGGGUGACCACUGCAAAGCUCUCCACCUGCAGCUGACUCAGCCGCAGCGCCCAUCAUACAGGACAGCCUGCACAGCUCCGUGUGCAUCAGCUCCACCAUGAAGUCAAGACAGCGGUCUGGGUUGUUGGUAUUUGAGAAGCUGCUCAAGAUUACUUUUCAGACUAAUUUCUAUUAUUUCCACAAGUUCCUUUCCCAUUACUCAAGCAAUGCACACGCAGUGACAGUUCUGACUGUCCUAGCUGUCGGUUCCCACAUUCUCACCAAAUGUCCUCAGACGUAAUUUAGUUGGGAAUGGAAAGAGUACAUUUGCCAACUCAGAAAUGUUGAAUAUAUUUAGUUACUUCUCAUGGCAUUCCUCUUCAUACAAGACCCACAGUACUUCUGCCCGUCAAAUUUGGUGGCUGUAAAACUCCGACAACACUGAGCAAGAUGGACUUAGGCUGGAACUAAUCUGUUGCAUCUAGUGGUUUAGGGGUCUUGUGGAAGAAAGCAAAGCAAACAGCUCAGUGGUAAAUAUCAGCAGACAAAGUCUUUUACUUUCAAAACCAAAAAAUCCUCCAACUCACUAAAUAGCCAGUCCUCAAAGGGAAAAAUGCAGGUUACCAAUUCUGGGGGUGGGGAGGUGUCCGGUGUUUCACGUCUUUGAUGGAAGACCAAUAAAACAAGGUGUCAAAAUCCCUUUUAAACCGACCAGAUUCCCAUUUUGCCCCCUGGACAGUUAAUGAGGGCUCUUCACAGGGAUUAGUUCGAACCUCUCUUCCAUCCGUACAGAAAAACGUCUGGAUUAGGUCUGAAGGUGCUUAAGGCUAAGUACAUGGAAUUGACACUGAGCUCUCCUUUAACCAGCUACACAUCGCCUCGGAGAUUAUUAUGGCAAACAGAUCAGCUAGUGCUGAUAGUGGUUUAAUUCAUUCCAUGUGAUUCCUCUCCAAGGACAAAUAUUCCAGCCGAUGGGGAAGCAAUUCCAGAGCAUCUCACCAUAGCAAGCCACACAACACACACGGGGAAAUGCAGAAACAAUGAAGUAAAAAACACAAGGUCAAUGGCACGCUAAAGAUAUAGCCUGGAUAGACUGUGGCAACCGAACACCAAUAAAUAUGAGUUGUCACACAAGAGUAAAGGCUGAGGAGG
ensembl:lncRNA